UGGGCCGUCCGGUUCCGUGUACACGAUUAAAUGCCCUCCACAAAUCGGUACGCCCGCACAAUAUUCUUGGCGUGUUGCAUGACUCGUGCAUCUGCAUACGGAGCCAAACGGUAAACUGCGUGAAGUAACCAUGAAGGCCACCAUUAUUCUUCUCGUGUUGCUCAUCGUUUCACUUGCAAUGAUCCAGGAGAUCUUGGGCCUUAGGUUCCCUAUGGAACCUCGCAUGUGGCGGGUCUUGGGAUUCCAAAAUGACUGCGAGUAUUAUGCUCACGGAGUGCGCAAGGAGUGCUGAAGAAUGUGCUGGUUCAACAAGCAUGAAACGCUUCGACGACAUCAUUGUCUGUGCAAGCCAAGUGUUUCAUUAAAUAUAUUCUUCAGCUAUG